AUCGAACGCUGGCGGCAUGCUUUACACAUGCAAGUCGAACGGUAACAGGCCGCAAGGUGCUGACGAGUGGCGAACGGGUGAGUAAUACAUCGGAACGUGCCCAGUCGUGGGGGAUAACUGCUCGAAAGAGCAGCUAAUACCGCAUACGAUCUAUGGAUGAAAGCGGGGGACCGUAAGGCCUCGCGCGAUUGGAGCGGCCGAUGUCAGAUUAGGUAGUUGGUGGGGUAAAGGCUCACCAAGCCAACGAUCUGUAGCUGGUCUGAGAGGACGACCAGCCACACUGGGACUGAGACACGGCCCAGACUCCUACGGGAGGCAGCAGUGGGGAAUUUUGGACAAUGGGGGCAACCCUGAUCCAGCAAUGCCGCGUGCAGGAAGAAGGCCUUCGGGUUGUAAACUGCUUUUGUACGGAACGAAACGGUCUGGGUUAAUACCCUGGGCUAAUGACGGUACCGUAAGAAUAAGCACCGGCUAACUACAUGCCAGCAGCCGCCGCCGUAA
rnacentral:rRNA from 1 species